UCAGGCUUAAAUUAUGGAUGAGGCCAUGAUCCAUUAUUGAGCAAAGAAGAUAUAAAAAGAAUGCUCCAGAAGGCAUUCCCAUGGGACAAAUGGGCAUUGUAUGUUAACUAUCGUCCAAAGAGGAAACAAAGGCGCUUUGCUUGAGAAAUCAACGGAUUCGAGACAACCAAACACUUCCUCAUACUAGUGGUGCUAUGAGUCUGGCUAGAAGAAGGGAUUUGAUGAAGAAAAUGGGGAAAGAAGUUGAUCGAGGCAAAGUGUGGACUCAGACUCAUAAGAGGAAAGAUGGGAG